AUUGAACGCUGGCGGCAGGCCUAACACAUGCAAGUCGAACGAGUGGCGGAUGGGUGAGUAAUGUCUGGGAAACUGCCUGAUGGAGGGGGAUAACUACUGGAAACGGUAGCUAAUACCGCAUACCAUCGGAUGUACCCAGAUGGGAUUAGCUAGUAGGUGGGGUAAAGGCUCACCUAGGCGACGAUCCCUAGCUGGUCUGAGAGGAUGACCAGCAACACUGGAACGUAUACACGGUCCAGACUCCGACGGGAGGCAGACGUGGGGAAUAGUGCACAAUGGGCUCAAGCCUGAUGCAGCCAUGCCGCGUGUAUGAAGAAGGCCUGCGGGUUGUAAAGUACUUUCAGCGGGGAGGCGUUACCCGCAGAAGAAGCACCGGCUAACUCCGUGCCAGCAGCCGCGGUAAUUC
rnacentral:rRNA from 1 species